rnacentral:rRNA from 1 species
CUACGGGUGGCUGCAGUGGGGAAUCUUAGACAAUGGGGGAAACCCUGAUCUAGCCAUGCCGUGUGAGCGACGACGGCCCUAGGGUUGUAAAGCUCUUUCAGCAGGGAAGAUAAUGACGGUACCUGCAGAAGAAGUCCCGGCUAACUCCGUGCCAGCAGCCGCGGUAAUACGGAGGGGACUAGCGUUGUUCGGAAUUACUGGGCGUAAAGCGCGCGUAGGCGGAUUGUUAAGUCGGGGGUGAAAUCCCGGGGCUCAACCCCGGAACUGCCCUCGAUACUGGCAGUCUUGAGUUCGAGAGAGGUGAGUGGAAUUCCGAGUGUAGAGGUGAAAUUCGUAGAUAUUCGGAGGAACACCAGUGGCGAAGGCGGCUCACUGGCUCGAUACUGACGCUGAGGUGCGAAAGCGUGGGAGCAAACAGGAUUAGAUACCCCGGUAGUC